rnacentral:rRNA from 1 species
UACGGAGGGUGCAAGCGUUGUCCGGAUUUAUUGGGUUUAAAGGGUGCGUAGGCGGCUUUUUAAGUCAGCGGUGAAAGACAACAGCUCAACUGUUGCAGUGCCAUUGAUACUGAAGAGCUUGAGUACAGAUGAGGUAGGCGGAAUUUAUGGUGUAGCGGUGAAAUGCAUAGAUACCAUAAAGAACACCUAUUGCGAAGGCAGCUUACGAAGCUGUAACUGACGCUGAGGCACGAAAGUGUGGGGAUCAAACAGG